rnacentral:rRNA from 1 species
AUUGAACGCUGGCGGAAUGCUUUACACAUGCAAGUCGAACGGCAGCACGGGAGCUUGCUCCUGGUGGCGAGUGGCGAACGGGUGAGUAAUACAUCGGAACGUACCCUGACGUGGGGGAUAACACACCGAAAGAUGUGCUAAUACCGCAUACGACCUGAGGGUGAAAGGGGGGGGAUCGCAAGACCUCUCGCGUUUGGAGCGGCCGAUGUCGGAUUAGCUAGUUGGUGAGGUAAAGGCUCACCAAGGCGACGAUCCGUAGCUGGUCUGAGAGGAUGAUCAGCCACACUGGGACUGAGACACGGCCCAGACUCCUACGGGAGGCAGCAGUGGGGAAUUUUGGACAAUGGGGGCAACCCUGAUCCAGCCAUUCCGCGUGAGUGAAGAAGGCCUUCGGGUUGUAAAGCUCUUUCGGCAGGAACGAAAAGGUGUCCUCUAAUACGGGAUGCUCAUGACGGUACCUGAAGAAGAAGCACCGGCUAACUACGUGCCAGCCGCCGCCGUAAGAC